CAGUAGCCGCGGUAAUACGUAGGGUGCGAGCGUUAAUCGGAAUUACUGGGCGUAAAGCGUGCGCAGGCGGUUGUGUAAGACAGGUGUGAAAUCCCCGGGCUUAACCUGGGAACUGCGCUUGUGACUGCACAGCUAGAGUAUGGCAGAGGGGGGUGGAAUUCCACGUGUAGCAGUGAAAUGCGUAGAGAUGUGGAGGAACACCGAUGGCGAAGGCAGCCCCCUGGGCCAAUACUGACGCUCAUGCACGAAAGCGUGGGGAGCAAACAGGAUUAGAUACUCCAGUAGUCCCUGUCUCUUAUAA
rnacentral:rRNA from 1 species